rnacentral:rRNA from 1 species
CCUACGGGGUGGCAGCAGUGGGGAAUAUUGGACAAUGGGCGAAAGCCUGAUCCAGCCAUGCCGCGUGUGUGAAGAAGGCCUUCGGGUUGUAAAGCACUUUCAGUGGGGAAGAAAGCCUUGGGGCUAAUACCCUCGAGGAAGGACAUCACCCACAGAAGAAGCACCGGCUAACUCCGUGCCAGCAGCCGCGGUAAUACGGAGGGUGCGAGCGUUAAUCGGAAUUACUGGGCGUAAAGCGCGCGUAGGCGGUCUGAUAAGCCGGUUGUGAAAGCCCCGGGCUCAACCUGGGAACGGCAUCCGGAACUGUCAGGCUAGAGUGCAGGAGAGGAAGGUAGAAUUCCCGGUGUAGCGGUGAAAUGCGUAGAGAUCGGGAGGAAUACCAGUGGCGAAGGCGGCCUUCUGGACUGACACUGACGCUGAGGUGCGAAAGCGUGGGUAGCAAACAGGAUUAGAUACCCGAGUAGUC